ACACGGUCCAGACUCCUACGGGAGGCAGCAGUGGGGAAUAUUGGGCAAUGGGGGCAACCCUGACCCAGCGACGCCGUGUGAGGGAUGAAGGCUUUCGGGUCGUAAACCUCUGUCAGGAGGGAAGAACCGCAUGGGGAUGAACAAGCCCUGUGCCUGACGGUACCUCCAAAGGAAGCACCGGCUAACUCCGUGCCAGCAGCCGCGGUAAUACGGAGGGUGCAAGCGUUAUUCGGAAUUACUGGGCGUAAAGCGUGCGUAGGCGGCUUGGUAAGUCAGGUGUGAAAGCCCUCGGCUCAACCGAGGAACUGCAUUUGAUACUGCCAGGCUAGAGUGUGGGAGAGGGCAGCGGAAUUCCCGGUGUAGGAGUGAUAUCCGUAGAUAUCGGGAGGAACACCAGUGGCGAAGGCGGCUGCCUGGAC
rnacentral:rRNA from 1 species